GGCCUUGUGGCCCAAUGGAUAAGGCGCCGGACUACGGAUCAGGAGAUUCCAGGUUCGAGUCCUGGCAGGGUCG
rnacentral:tRNA from 2 species